GACGAACGCUGGCGGCGUGCCUAAUACAUGCAAGUCGAACGCAGUGGGGACGGGUGAGUAAAACGUGGGUAAACUACCAUCAGAGGGGAUAACACUUGGAAAUAGGUGCUAAACCGUUACUGGUGGAUGAACACGCGGUGCAUUAGCUAGUUGGUGAGGUAACGGCUAACAAGGGCCACGAGGCAUAGCCUACCUGUGAGGGUGAUCGGCCACACUGGGACGGAGACACGGCCCAGACUCCUACGGGAGGAAGCAGUAGGGAAUCUUCGGCAAUGGACGAAAGUCUGACCGAGCAACGCCGCGUGAGUGAAGAAGGUUUUCGGAUCGUAAAACUCUGUUGUUAGAGAAGCGGUAUCUAACCAGAAAGCCACGGCUAACUACGUGCCAGCAGCCGCGGUAAUAC
rnacentral:rRNA from 1 species